rnacentral:rRNA from 1 species
UACGUAGGGUGCGAGCGUUGUCCGGAAUUAUUGGGCGUAAAGAGCUUGUAGGCGGUUUGUCGCGUCUGCUGUGAAAAUCCGGGGCUCAACCCCGGACUUGCAGUGGGUACGGGCAGACUAGAGUGUGGUAGGGGAGACUGGAAUUCCUGGUGUAGCGGUGAAAUGCGCAGAUAUCAGGAAGAACACCCGUGGCGAAGGCGGCUCUCUGGUACGUGACUGACGCUGAGACGCGAAAGCGUGGGGAGCGAACAGG